UACGUAGGCAGCGAGCGUUGUUCGGAGUUACUGGGCGUAAAGGGUGCGUAGGCGGUUGUUUAAGUUUGGUGUGAAAUCUCCCGGCUCAACUGGGAGGGUGCGCCGAAUACUGAAUGACUAGAGUGCGGGAGAGGAUAGUGGAAUUCCUGGUGUAGCGGUGAAAUGCGUAGAUAUCAGGAGGAACACCGGUGGUGUAGACGGCUAUCUGGACCGUAACUGACGCUGAGGCACGAAAGCGUGGGGAGCAAACGGG
rnacentral:rRNA from 1 species